rnacentral:tRNA from 1 species
GGUUUAGUGGCAGAGUGGUUAUUGCGUGAUAUUGUAAAUAUUAUAUUGUUGAGAGUUCGAUUCUUUCCUAAAUCA